GGCCAAAUCACACUGAAACAUUGGUUCCCAUCCAAUCACUGAAGUUAAGCAAGAUUGAGCCUGAUCAGUAACCUAGUUGGGUGACUGCUCAAGAAUACCAGGUGUUGUAAG